GUUUAAUAAAAAGCGAGCAGUUUACUUGGCUACAACCCUCCCCCCAAAAAGAAUCCCAAACAUGAACACAAAACAGGCCAAAGCGAAUAGGGGUGAAAACUAAACUUAAACCUAAACUGGGAAAACUAAGACAAUAAGACAUGAAUGAACAUGAGUAGUAGCAAAAACUCUGUGACCUGACAAGACUCAAUAUGAAUGUAGCCCGGGUAUAUUGGAUGGGGCUAAGUUUUAUUUCUAGUUGUGUAUAUAUAUACAGCUGAAUAGUUAUCUUGUUCAUUUUCCUAUAUUUGUAUUAUUCAUAACUUAGUUUAUUGUUUAGGUGCUUUUAUUGUGAAAGGGGCGGAGAGAGGAAAAGAAACGGGGGAGAAGGCAGCAGCCACGAGAGAUGGGAGGAGAGAAAAGCGUGCGCGAGAUGCGGCUAGCGUCUGCAGAGACUUUUUCCAAUGGACGACAAGGAUAAAUCAUCCCACGUCGACGGCUGAGUAACAGAGCGUGACUGUGAGGUGGUGCAGCCCGGACUGGUUUGCACUGUUGCCUCGGAAUCACCUAGUUAGCGGCGUGCUAACUUGGCUAACCGGAGUUAGCCCUCAAGGCGGACUUCGCUAACGAUCACCGGACCUGUACAGAGCGAGAGGCUACUAACUGCAGAGGCUGACCGAUCAGGUUUGCUGCUCGGAAGGAGUAAGUGUGCAGCUGCAGGGACUAAGGGACGGACCUCUCGGCUUGCUGUGAGUUUGUGGAAAGAGACUGAGAGUUCCAGGUAGGAGCACCAUUUUGUUUUCUUUUAGGACCGUCUGUUCCUACGCACACAAGCAUCGAUCCAGGCCUGCACCGAGGGGACUUGGGAAAUUGGGGUGUGAGCGAGUGUGUGGGGCCCAUUACGGUCUCUGUCACGUUGGCCUUAAAAGAUCCUAGGAAUCAUCAGCCUCUUGGCUCAUGCUUAAGAAAGCUGUACAGAAAUCUUGACAACCUUUUGGAGCGGGGCCAUUUAGGAGAAGACCAAUGAAAGGAGACAGACAUAACUUCUAGCAACAAGCUCCAUCACAGGUAUGAUAAUUUAUGUUUUACUUUGUUGAUUGUUGUAACUUAAAAUUAGUUGCU
rnacentral:lncRNA from 1 species